ACGCUGGCGGCACGCCUAACACAUGCAAGUCGAACGAAGUAGCAAUACUUAGUGGCGAACGGGUGAGUAUAAUGUGGGUAUCUGCCUUUUGGUUUGGAAUAACACGGGGAAACUUGUGCUAAUACCGGAUAAGCCUUUACAGGGAAAGUUUUAACGCCGAAAGAUGAGCCCGCACUUGAUUAGCUAGUUGGUAAGGUAAUGGCUUACCAAGGCUACGAUCAAUAGCUGAUCUGAGAGGAUGAUCAGCCACAUUGGGACUGAGACACGGCCCAAACUCCUACGGGAGGCAGCAGUGGGGAAUCUUGCACAAUGGGGGAAACCCUGAUGCAGCGAUGCCGCGUGAGUGAAGAAGGCCUUUGGGUUGUAAAGCUCUUUCGUCGGGGAAGAAAAUGACUGUACCCGAAUAAGAAGGUCCGGCUAACUUCGUGCCAGCAGCCGCGGUAAUACGAAGGGACCUAGCGUAUUUGGGAAUUACUGGGCUUAAAGAGCUCGUAGGUGGUUAGAAAAGUUGGUGGUGAAAGCCCAAGGCUUAACCUUGGAAUUGCCUCCAAAACUUUUUAACUAGAGUAUGAUAGAGGUAAGCGGAAUUUCUAGUGUAGAGGUGAAAUUCCUAGAUAUUAGAAAGAACACCAAUUGCGAAGGCAGCUUUCUGGAUCAUUACUGACACUGAGGAGCGAAAGCAUGGGUAGCGAAGAGGAUUAGAUACCCUCGUAGUCCAUGCCGUAAACGAUGUGUGCUAGACGUUGGAAAUUUUAUUUUCAGUGUCGCAGCAAAAGCGUUAAGCACACCGCCUGGGGAGUACGACCGCAAGCUAACUCAUCGAUAG
rnacentral:rRNA from 1 species